CCUACGGGUGGCAGCAGUAGGGGAUAUUGCUCAAUGGGGGAAACCCUGAAGCAGCAACGCCGCGUGGAGGAUGAAGGUUUUAGGAUUGUAAAGUCCUUUUGGGAGAGAAGAUAAUGACGGGAUACCACGAAUAAGCACAGGCUAAAUCCGUGCCAGCAGCCGCGGUAAUACGGAGGGGGCAAGCGUUACUCGGAAUCACUGGGGGUAAAGAGUGCGCAGGCGGGAUGGUAAGUCAGAUGUGAAAUCCCGUAGCUUAACCGCAGAACUGCAUUGGAAACUAUGAGUCUAGAGUGUGGGAGAGGUAGGUGGAAUUCUUGGUGUAGGGGUAAAAUCCGUAGAUAUCAAGAGGAAUACUCAUGGCGAAGGCGACCUACUGGAACAUUACUGACGCUCAUGCACGAAAGCGUGGGGAGCAAACAGGAUUAGAUACCCUUGUAGUC
rnacentral:rRNA from 1 species